rnacentral:rRNA from 1 species
UACGUAGGCAGCAAGCGUUGUUCGGAGUUACUGGGCGUAAAGGGUGCGUAGGCGGUUGUUUAAGUUUGGUGUGAAAUCUCCCGGCUCAACUGGGAGGGUGCGCCGAAUACUGAAUGACUAGAGUGCGGGAGAGGAGAGUGGAAUUCCUGGUGUAGCGGUGAAAUGCGUAGAUAUCAGGAGGAACACCGGUGGUGUAGACGGCUCUCUGGACCGUAACUGACGCUGAGACGCGAAAGCGUGGGGAGCGAACAGG